rnacentral:rRNA from 1 species
AGUAAUAUAUCGGAACAUACCCAGUAUGGGGGAGUAACUAUCCGAAAGGAUAGCUAAUACCGCAUACGAUCUGUGGAUGAAAGCAGGGGAUCUUCGGACCUUGUGCUAUUGGAAUGGCCGAUAUCUGAUUAGCUAGUUGGUAGGGUAAAAGCCUACCAAGGCGACGAUCAGUAGCUGGUCUGAGAGGACGACCAGCCACACUGGAACUGAGACACGGUCCAG